CAGUAGCGUAUAUUAAAGUUGUUGCAGUUAAAAAGCUCGUAGUUGGAUUUCUGACUUCAAACACCUGACCCUCCCUCGCUAGAGGUGUGUGUGCCGGAGUGUUUGUAUCAUCCUUUCAGUGAUCGGUUCUACCCUUAACCGGGUCGGAACUGUUAACUGGAUCUUUUACUUUGAAGAAAUUGGAGUGUUUAAAGCAGGCUUACGCCAGAACAUAUUAGCAUGGAAUAAUAAUUUAGGACUUUUGUUCUAUUUUGUUGGUUUGCGUUACGAAGUAAUGAUUAAUAGGGACAGUUGGGGGUAUUCGUAUUUCGUUGUCAGAGGUGAAAUUCUUGGAUUUCCGAAAGACGAACUACUGCGAAAGCAUUUACCAAGGAUGUUUUCAUUAAUCAAGAACGAAAGUUAGGGGAUCGAAGAUGAUUAGAUACCGU
rnacentral:rRNA from 1 species